GUAGGAUAGGCGAAGCGUGCGAUUGGAUUGCACGUCUAAGCAGUAAGGCUGAGUAUUAGGCAAAUCCGGUACUCGUUAAGGCUGAGCUGUGAUGGGGAGAAGACAUUGUGUCUUCGAGUCGUUGAUUUCACACUGCCGAGAAAAGCCUCUAGAUAGAAAAUAGGUGCCCGUACCGCAAACCGACACAGGUAGUCAAGAUGAGAAUUCUAAGGUGAGCGAGCGAACUCUCGUUAAGGAACUCGGCAAAAUGACCCCGUAACUUCGGGAGAAGGGGUGCUCUUUAGGGUUAACGCCCAGAAGAGCCGCAGUGAAUAGGCCCAAGCGACUGUUUAUCAAAAACACAGGUCUCUGCUAAACCGUAAGGUGAUGUAUAGGGGCUGACGCCUGCCCGGUGCUGGAAGGUUAAGAGGAGUGGUUAGCUUCUGCGAAGCUACGAAUCGAAGCCCCAGUAAACGGCGGCCGUAACUAUAACGGUCCUAAGGUAGCGAAAUUCCUUGUCGGGUAAGUUCCGACCCGCACGAAAGGCGUAACGAUUUGGGCACUGUCUCAACGAGAGACUCGGUGAAAUCAUAGUACCUGUGAAGAUGCAGGUUACCCGCGACAGGACGGAAAGACCCCGUGGAGCUUUACUGUAGCCUGAUAUUGAAAUUCGGCACAGCUUGUACAGGAUAGGUAGGAGCCUUUGAAACGUGAGCGCUAGCUUACGUGGAGGCGCUGGUGGGAUACUACCCUAGCUGUGUUGGCUUUCUAACCCGCACCACUUAUCGUGGUGGGAGACAGUGUCAGGCGGGCAGUUUGACUGGGGCGGUCGCCUCCUAAAAGGUAACGGAGGCGCUCAAAGGUUCCCUCAGAAUGGUUGGAAAUCAUUCAUAGAGUGUAAAGGCAUAAGGGAGCUUGACUGCGAGACCUACAAGUCGAGCAGGGUCGAAAGACGGACUUAGUGAUCCGGUGGUUCCGCAUGGAAGGGCCAUCGCUCAACGGAUAAAAGCUACCCCGGGGAUAACAGGCUUAUCUCCCCCAAGAGUUCACAUCGACGGGGAGGUUUGGCACCUCGAUGUCGGCUCAUCGCAUCCUGGGGCUGUAGUCGGUCCCAAGGGUUGGGCUGUUCGCCCAUUAAAGCGGUACGCGAGCUGGGUUCAGAACGUCGUGAGACAGUUCGGUCCCUAUCCGUCGUGGGCGUAGGAAAUUUGAGAGGAGCUGUCCUUAGUACGAGAGGACCGGGAUGGACAUACCUCUGGUGUACCAGUUGUCGUGCCAACGGCAUAGCUGGGUAGCUAUGUGUGGACGGGAUAAGUGCUGAAAGCAUCUAAGCAUGAAGCCCCCCUCAAGAUGAGAUUUCCCAACUUCGGUUAUAAGAUCCCUCAAAGAUGAUGAGGUUAAUAGGUUCGAGGUGGAAGCAUGGUGACAUGUGGAGCUGACGAAUACUAAUCGAUCGAAGAC
rnacentral:rRNA from 1 species